rnacentral:rRNA from 1 species
GGUCAAGCUAAUAGGGGCUUGCGGACGAUACCUAGGCACAGAG